CGCCUUUCCAGUCUCGUUUUCGUCGUUUCCAAUUCAGGUGUGGAAGCAUCUCGUCCUACCGCCUAACUCCCAACUUCUUGUGGCCUGCUAAUUCAUGUGUUGGUUUGACUAGUCAUUUGAUAGCACAGAGUUUAAAAUAGGACCUGGGUUAGAAUCUUGCCUUUCCCCUUUCCCAAGGCAGUGCGACCUUGACCUUCCUAAAUCAGAGCUUAAAAUGUAGUUUUGGCACUGUGUUUAAUUUAGAUACAAUAAGCAAGCGCCCAGUCCCUAUUUGUGUUUUUGUUGUGUGGGAAAACUACAUGCAUAUUCCCUUAGUGUAGUGAGAGGAAAUUCCUUAUAUUGGUGGAAAACUUCCUGAGCUUGAAAUGAAGUGGUCCCAAAUAUAGAGCUCCAUUUUAAACCUGAUGAAAGCUUGUAUUUGUAUUAGUCUUUCAAAGUCAAUAUUGUAUCAAGUUUAAGAUAUUUAUAAUAUUACAUUCAAUAUCUCCACAGGCUCUACUUUGCAUCUUUAAAUUUUUUCAGUCUGGCAACUUCAGUGUCUUCCUAUCAUCUUGGUAGUUUUAGUGCAAAGAUACAAAUUUGUAUGGCUCAACUUGAAAAAUCACAGUAAGCUAAGGAUUGGUUAAAAGUUCAGAAAACUAAGCAGGAAAAGUGAGUGGAAACUGAAAUUAUAGAAAAGUCAUGCAUUCUACUCCUGUUCUCACUUCACCUUUGUUCUCUACCUUCACUCUUAAUGGCCUUAUAUUUUCUCUUUGAACCUGGCUACUUUUUUUUUUUUUUUUUAAUCUUCUGAAUAUACUAUCUCAAGACUAAAAGGAUUUCUGUUUAGCAAGUAUGAAGAUUCGUUCAACUAAAUACAUACUGAGUUUUGACUUUUAGGAGAAUACAUGAAGAUAUACCUGGAAAGGUAAGUUAAGGUCAACCUCUAGGAGGUUCCUUAGGUUGGUCUUAGAGUUUGGGCCUUAUCCUCUGACCACAGUAAAACCAUUAAAUAUGUUUUGACAGGAAUGUGUCAUAAUGAUCACAUUGUUUUUGGAUAUGUAAUCUGGAAGCUUUCCCAGGAUUAGUUGAAAGACUGGAAGCAAGAAAAGCAGAAGACUUUGGGAAGAACCUAGACUCUAGGAAGUAAAGACAUACGUACUCUGGAGUGGUGAUAGUGAAAAGAAUGGAAAUGGCCUGAGAGACAUCACAAAAGGAGAAGUGAGGGGACUGGAUUACUGAUAAGACCAAAGAAGAGUAAAGAGAUAAUGAACCCAAGUACUUACUCCAUUACAGUAAGGAACAGGAAUUCAGCCAGGCAGCCUCUAAUAGCCUUCCUAGUUCUAAAGUUCCUUUUUUUUCUAUUGUUCUACUAUCUGAAGAUGAAAGGAAAAAAUAUUUCAAAUGAGAGAAGCAGUUACAAGAAGAAAAUAAUGAAUUUGAUUUUAGGUCUAAAAUCUAAAACCUUGAUAAAUUAUCUAGUUCAGUCUCCUCUCUUGAAGGAGUUGUCAUCAUCCUCUCCAUCGGAGGUCCUAGAGAUUCAGCAGUUGGUCUAAGAACACCCAGCUAGUUGGUGCAAGGGAUUGGGAAUGUAAGUGCUCACUGUCCUGUAAACUAACUGCUCCUGAAGGUAUCAACACAUGUAAGUAGAGAUUGCUGAUAGACACCUAGAGAGAAAACAGAAGCUCAAGAGAGAAAAAGAAUAGAGUAGGGGCCCCUGGGUGGCUCAGUCGGUUAAGCAUCCGACUUCUCAGGUCAUGAUCUCAUGGUCCGUGGGUUCGAGCCCCGUGUCGGGCUCUGUGCUGACAGCUCGGAGCCUGGAGCCUGUUUCGGAUUCUGUGUCUCCCUCUCUCUCCGACCCUCCCCCGUCCAUGCUGUCUCUCCCUGUCUCAAAAAUAAUAAAUAAACGUUAAAAAAAAAAAAAAAAAAGAAUAGAACUAAACAUGUAGUUUGGAGAUACCUGUAUGGAGUGGAUGAGUUUUCUGAGAAGAGCAGCUUGUACAGGGAAAUUCUAGGAAUAGAAUGUAUACAGAGAUGAAAGACUUCAUUAAAAAAUCAUUCUUAGAUAGGUAAUUACUGAAUGCCAGGAGAAAACCAUUCAAUUUCACUUUCAUAUCUGCUAAUCAGUCUGUAAGAUGCUGACCUACAUAUACUAUUAACUGAAAGAAGGGCAGAAAAGCUAAAAGUUAUUCAAACUAAUGGAGGGAAGCUGUAAAUUAAUCUUAAUUCUUACUUACAAAUAAACAGGACCUGUUCCUUCACACUCACUGAUAUGGUAGGAAAAGACACAAUUCAGUAGGGAGAGAGGGAAAGGAUAGGACCUGAGGUCCCUGGGUGGAGAAAACAUAUUGAAACAAUGCUGGGAGGAUCUGACCACAGCAAAGCCCCUCAGGUGUAAGGUUCCUCUUAAGAAUGUAACAGACAUUACCUCCUCCCCCUCAGGUUUCCCUCAGGAAUUUGACAAAGAGAUCUGACUAAAAAAAAGUAGACCAUAAAAUGGAUGAUCCACAAGGAAAGGUGUGGCCAUAGACCACCCCUCAUAUACUAGAAAUGAGCCAAUCAGGAAACAACCAGCACCUAGAGCUAUCAAGCCAAUAAGGGGAGAACCUUAGGAGGAACAAAAGGGAGGGUAAAGGGGGGGGAGGGGGUGACCAGUACCUUAUAAAACAAGGACCCUUGCCUGUAGUCACAGGCAUUAACUUUCAAAUGUCCCAUCUGUAAAAAGAGCUUUCAUACUAUCCUUACUUUCUAAUCUUGUACUUUAAUAAACUUUGCCUGCUGCUCAUUUCGUGUCCACCUCUUCAUUCUUCGAAGAAGCGAGACAACAAACCCUAGGUAUCGAGGUAAAAAAAUCCUGCAACACCGAUACCCUCAUUUCCCCCAACUCUGGUGGAUCAAGAUUGACAGGAGGAAUAAACCAAGUGGUUUGUAUAAUGACAAGGGUCAUGUAAGAUAGAUGUUGACGCAGUGUAAUAUAAUGUAGAUUCCUGGCAAAUUUUGCUUUUUUCCGUAAUGAAGUAGCUCUAAUUUUUUUUUCUGAUUUUGAAUGUAAUAAAUAAUUAUGAAAUAUUAAUAUAAUAGAGAAAGGAAGGAAGAAACUAAAAAUCACAACACGUACAGAUAAUUUCUGUAUGCUUUCACAUACAUUUUAUUAUGUAAGUACCUUUUUUCUAUGCAUAUGUAGAUUAAGAAAAUAGGAUCAUAUGAUUUUUUUAUAUGCAUGGUUUUUAAUAACCUUUUAAAUUUAAUAAUGUAUAAUUAACAUUUUUAUCCAUAUAUAGAUCUAUAUAAUUUUUUUACCUAUCAAGUAUUCCCUAUUGAAAUUUUGAGUAUGAUCUUCCUUGAAAAAGUGGCACUCUGGGCCAUCCAUAGAGUCUUAUCAAAGAUGUGCAAAGAGGAAGACAUGUCUAAUAUGAUUUUUUUUUUAGUUUCUUUAAAACUCCAUAUCACCUUUCCAUUUCUCUUUAGGGAUACAUAUGAUUCCAGAGAAGUGAUCUUCACUUUGUCUUCAGAGGUGGUGUGACUAACCUAGGCUAUCCAAUCAGUACAUUCCACCCCUUUGGACUUGGUGAUUUAGUCAGGGUGGGCAUUGGCUCUAAGGUAGUUUGAUGAAUGACUCUUAGGACUUUUGCUGAGAAUGCUGUCUCUUGCUUGCUGGACAGGAGGAAGAUGCUGGUGGCCAUCUUGGGACAAUGAGAGGAGCUAGUCUUAGAAUGAUGCGGACACCAAGGAAGGCACAGCAGAGAAAAGGAAACAAAAGGUCCUUGAUGACAUACUGAGUUAUAGAAUCAAGCUUCACUUGAAGCCAUGAUUGCCUGAAGCCUGUGGUAUCUCAUUCAUGUGAGCCAAUCAAUUUUCUUUAUUGUUUAAGCAAGUUUGAAUUGGGUUUUCUGUUACCUACAAUCAAAUGUGUAGAAAAAAAUUCUAGAAGAAAAUGUUAACAGUAAAUAUCUCUG
rnacentral:lncRNA from 1 species